UACGGGGGGGGCAAGCGUUGUUCGGAAUUACUGGGCGUAAAGGGCGCGUAGGCGGGCCCACAAGUCCGGGGUGAAAUCUUUCGGCUUAACCGGAAAAGUGCCUUGGAUACUGGGGGCCUUGAGGGAGGCAGGGGCGGAUGGAACUUCCGGUGGAGCGGUGAAAUGCGUUGAUAUCGGAAGGAACGCCGGUGGCGAAAGCGAUCCGCUGGACCUCUUCUGACGCUGAGGCGCGAAAGCCAGGGAGCAAACGGG
rnacentral:rRNA from 1 species